GGCGCAGCCUGAUGCAGCGACGCCGCGUGAGGGAUGAAGGCCUUCGGGUUGUAAACCUCUUUCAGUGGGGAAGAAGCGAAAGUGACGGUACCCACACAAGAAGGCCCGGCCAACUACGUGCCAGCAGCCGCGGUAAUACGUAGGGGCCAAGCGUUAUCCGGAUUUAUUGGGCGUAAAGAGCUCGUAGGCGGUUUGGUAAGUCGGUCGUGAAAGUCCGAGGCUCAACCUCGGAAUGCCGGUCGAUACUGCCAUGACUAGGGUUCGGUAGAGGAGAGUGGAAUUCUCGGUGUAGCGGUGAAAUGCGCAGAUAUCGAGAGGAACACCAGUAGCGAAGGCGGCUCUCUGGGCCGAUACCGACGCUGAGGAGCGAAAGCGUGGGGAGCAAACAGGAUUAGAUACCCUGGUAGUCCACGCCGUAAACGUUGAUCACUAGAUGUGGCGGACUCAUUGACGUCUGCCGUGUCGUAGCUAACGCAUUAAGUGAUCCGCCUGGGGAGUACGGCCGCAAGGCUAAAACUCAAAGGAAUUGACGGGGCCCCGCACAAGCGGCGGAGCAUGCGGCUUAAUUCGAUGCAACCCGAANAACCUUACCUGGGUUUGACAUCAUGGGAAAAACUGUA
rnacentral:rRNA from 1 species